AUUGAACGCUGGCGGUAGGCCUAACACAUGCAAGUCGAGCGGAUGAAGGGAGCUUGCUCCUGGAUUCAGCGGCGGACGGGUGAGUAAUGCCUAGGAAUCUGCCUGGUAGUGGGGGAUAACGUCCGGAAACGGGCGCUAAUACCGCAUACGUCCUGAGGGAGAAAGUGGGGGAUCUUCGGACCUCACGCUAUCAGAUGAGCCUAGGUCGGAUUAGCUAGUUGGUGGGGUAAAGGCCUACCAAGGCGACGAUCCGUAACUGGUCUGAGAGGAUGAUCAGUCACACUGGAACUGAGACACGGUCCAGACUCCUACGGGAGGCAGCAGUGGGGAAUAUUGGACAAUGGGCGAAAGCCUGAUCCAGCCAUGCCGCGUGUGUGAAGAAGGUCUUCGGAUUGUAAAGCACUUUAAGUUGGGAGGAAGGGCAGUAAGUUAAUACCUUGCUAUUUUGACGGUACCAACAGAAUAAGCACCGGCUAACUUCGUG
rnacentral:rRNA from 1 species